ACCUACGGGGGGCAGCAGUGGGGAAUAUUGGACAAUGGGCGCAAGCCUGAUCCAGCAAUGCCGCGUGUGUGAAGAAGGCCUGCGGGUUGUAAAGCACUUUAAGCCGGAAAGAAGGGCGAAAGGUUAAUACCCUUUUGCAUUGACGUUACCGGCAGAAUAAGCACCGGCUAACUCCGUGCCAGCAGCCGCGGUAAUACGGAGGGUGCGAGCGUUAAUCGGAAUUACUGGGCGUAAAGCGCGCGUAGGCGGUUCGUUAAGUCAGCUGUGAAAGCCCCGGGCUUAACCUGGGAAUGGCAGUUGAUACUGGCGGGCUAGAGUGUGGUAGAGGGGUGUGGAAUUUCCGGUGUAGCAGUGAAAUGCGUAGAGAUCGGAAGGAACACCAGUGGCGAAGGCGGCACCCUGGACCAACACUGACGCUGAGGUGCGAAAGCGUGGGGAGCAAACAGGAUUAGAUACCCCUGUAGUCCU
rnacentral:rRNA from 1 species